ACGGGAGGCAGCAGUGGGGAAUAUUGGGCAAUGGGGGAAACCCUGACCCAGCAACGCCGCGUGAAGGAAGAAGGCCCUCGGGUUGUAAACUUCUUUUACCAGGGGCGAACAAAUGACGGUACCUGGAGAAAAAGCAACGGCUAACUACGUGCCAGCAGCCGCGGUAAUACGUAGGUGGCAAGCGUUAUCCGGAUUUACUGGGUGUAAAGGGCGCGUAGGCGGGGAUGCAAGUCAGAUGUGAAAUCUAUGGGCUUAACUCAUAAACUGCAUUUGAAACUGUAUCUCUUGAGUGCUGGAGAGGUAGACGGAAUUCCUAGUGUAGCGGUGAAAUGCGUAGAUAUUAGGAAGAACACCAGUGGCGAAGGCGGUCUACUGGACAGUAACUGACGCUGAGGCGCGAAAGCGUGGGGAGCAAACAGGAUUAGAUACCCUGGUA
rnacentral:rRNA from 1 species